CAAGUCUUGCCUUCAUUUAUGAAUCUUUAGCAUGACUUCCACUGAUAAAAUAUAUAUUUCAGACCUAACAAUAAUAUGCUUUAAUUGUGAUGCACAUUUGAACGCAGCUUUGCGCAACAGCUCCUUGUUGACGGUAGUCAUGGCAACAGGAGUGACUGCCACGAGGGACUGAUGUUUCCUUUGUUUCAUUGACUUCCGCGUUAAGUCAAGUGGAUUUCCUUCCCAUUCUGAUUGAAUCUAUAGCUUCCAGGAGCAACAAUGUCAAGAAGGAAACAAAACAAAGACAGAGGAAAAAUCGACCCAGAGAUGUCAAAGGAAACAGAUUCGACUGUGGAUGAAACACUGCCACCUCUUCCACCUUUGACCUUUGAUGACUAUCAAUGUACAGGAAAUGUGGAGGUUGAUUUUCCGGCCCUUUGUGAUCUUUUGAACAUACGUGAUCCCCCAUCGAUCCGCAUCAGGUCCCCAGCGUCCUCCACCCUACCUGAGGAAGAGACUACAGAAGAAAACACAGUCCGGGAAAACGACAGCUAUUCCUUUAAGCCAUGUGUUGAAGUGGAAUUGGAGCAGGAAAAUUCUCUCAACGUCAAGUUCCUGAAGAUUUUUGGCUGGAGAGUGAACAAAAGGAUGUUUCGUGUGCUGCAGAAGAUGUUCCUCUCUAUGAAACACCUGCGGUGCAUUCAGUGAGUUCACGCUGCACAAUCAUCACAGCUUUGUUCCUUGUUUUUCUCUAUAAUCUUGUCCACGUCGCUGCAGAUUCUGGCAGACAGGACUAACAGAUGAAAUGAUAAUCACGCUCAAGGACACGCUACCUCUGUGC
rnacentral:lncRNA from 1 species